rnacentral:rRNA from 1 species
UACAGAGGGUGCAAGCGUUAAUCGGAUUUACUGGGCGUAAAGCGUGCGUAGGCGGUUCAUUAAGUCGGUUGUGAAAUCCCUGGGCUUAACCUGGGAACUGCAGUCGAUACUGGUGGACUAGAAUGCGGUAGAGGGUGGCGGAACUCCGGGUGUAGCGGUGAAAUGCGUAGAUAUCCGGAAGAACACCGAUGGCGAAGGCAACCACCUGGGCCUGCAUUGACGCUGAGGUACGAAAGCGUGGGGAGCAAACAGG